rnacentral:rRNA from 1 species
UACGUAGGGUGCGAGCGUUGUCCGGAAUUAUUGGGCGUAAAGAGCUUGUAGGUGGCUUCGUAAGUCCGUUGUGAAAGUCAAAGGCUCAACCUUUGAAAGCCGAUGGAUACUGUGAAGCUAGAGUACGGAAGAGGCGAGUGGAAUUCCUGGUGUAGCGGUGGAAUGCGCAGAUAUCAGGAGGAACACCAAUAGCGAAGGCAGCUCGCUGGGACGUUACUGACACUGAGGCGCGAAAGCGUGGGGAGCGAACAGG